rnacentral:rRNA from 1 species
AUUGAACGCUGGCGGCAGGCUUAACACAUGCAAGCCGAGCGGAGAUGAGGUGCUUGCACCUUAUCUUAGCGGCGGACGGGUGAGUAAUGCUUAGGAAUCUGCCUAUUAGUGGGGGACAACAUUCCGAAAGGAAUGCUAAUACCGCAUACGUCCUACGGGAGAAAGCAGGGGAUCUUCGGACCUUGCGCUAAUAGAUGAGCCUAAGUCGGAUUAGCUAGUUGGUGGGGUAAAGGCCUACCAAGGCGACGAUCUGUAGCGGGUCUGAGAGGAUGAUCCGCCACACUGGGACUGGGACACGGCCCAGACUCCUACGGGAGGCAGCAGUGGGGAAUAUUGGACAAUGGGGGGAACCCUGAUCCAGCCAUGCCGCGUGUGUGAAGAAGGCCUUAUGGUUGUAAAGCACUUUAAGCGAGGAGGAGGCUACUGAGACUAAUACCCUUGGAUAGUGGACGUUACUCGCAGAAUAAGCACCGGCUAACUCUGUGCCAGCCGCCGCCGUAACAC